rnacentral:lncRNA from 1 species
GGGCAAUAACAAGCGUGGAGCUUCAUUUCCUCUGAUAACAAUGCCUUCUUCUCGAAUCCUUCCUGGAGGACCUGUCUGAGGAUGUUUUCCAGCUAGCUUUUUUUUCAUAAGUAGAAAGAGUACACUAAAAUAACAGCAAAAAGUAUAGUAGAUACAUAAACCAGUACCAUAGUCAUUUAUUAUCAAGUAUUAUGUACUAUACAUAACUGGAUGUGCUAUACUUUUAUUAUACAACUGGCAGAGCAGUCAAUUUGUUUACCCCAGCAUAACCACAUACAUGUUCUGCUUGAAUUCUUGCCCUGGCUCUUGGUGAAGGAUCGGCCUGCUGGAUCUGAGUCAUCCACCUAUAAGAGGGACAACACCACACAUUGGUCGCUGCUCUCAAGCCCCUGGAAUACCACCCCACUUGGCUUCUCCUGAUACCACCCACAUAAACAAAAACUUUUUGGGAGUCCUCCAGAAUUUUUAAGAGUUAUCUAAACUAUUGCCUUUAAUGACCAGGAACUCCAAUUUGAGAAGUUACCCUACGUUAAGCCAACAGCAGCCUGGCUCCUUCAUCCUGUGCAGUAUGGGACAGAGCUGGGUCCUUGUUGUCAUCAGCCAGACAAGCACACAUUAAAGCCCACCUUAGCCAUUGGCAUUACAGCUUUAAAAGCAGCUCCAUCCUACCAUGCUGUCACUCUACUCAAUCACGUGAUCUUAACGACCAGCUCUACAUAUCCUCUCUCCAUGCCCCCACCACCAUCCCCCACCAACAAAUCCGGUAAUCUAUCUCUGUCAAUAGUCCUGCAGUGAAUUCCGAAUAAGUUUUUCUCUUCCCUGGCCUGCCGUUUACGUAGUACCCUGGAUGAAUCUAUACUUACUCCAUAGUAAGUAGUACCUUGGAUGAAUCUAUACUUGCAUCCAAUGGAAAUGAGAGUGAUGGUGCAGAGUUAUCCGAAGUAACUCCAGCUAUGUUGUGGAUCUUCUAAUCAUGGGCUCAUCUAAGCCUUCCCAGAUAUCACUCUAGUUUUUACAAUCUUUGUUUAUGACAAUUAGGGCUGUAACAUUGGCUGUAGACAUUUGUUGCAUCAAGGAACUCAGCUUCCACUGAAGUUCUGAAGUUAAUCAGUUUCUGAUCUUGUUCUGCAACUCUCUGCAAGAAGAAAAAUCACCAGGAAAUAGUGCAUCCUGAAAGGAGUCAAAGUUUCCUUAUCCAGCUGGAGCAGUGUGAUCUCGGACCAGAGUCAAUUCCUUGCCCAACAGACUUCACAUUGAGCCAUGAGAAGCAGCCUACUUACCCUUACCUGGACACUUCUCCAAAACCUGUGAAAUGGCCUCUGUCACUGCCUCAAAGCCUCAUCCUUGGUGGGCAACUCACCUGGAUCCUGAGACCAAAAUAUAGAGCUUAAUGAACUG